rnacentral:rRNA from 1 species
CGAACGGGUGAGUAACACGUGAGUAACCUGCCCUUGACUCUGGGAUAAGCCUGGGAAACUGGGUCUAAUACCGGAUACGACCGAUCACCGCAUGGUGUGUUGGUGGAAAGCUUUUGCGGUUUUGGAUGGACUCGCGGCCUAUCAGCUUGUUGGUGGGGUAAUGGCCUACCAAGGCGACGACGGGUAGCCGGCCUGAGAGGGUGACCGGCCACACUGGGACUGAGACACGGCCCAGACUCCUACGGGAGGCAGCAGUGGGGAAUAUUGCACAAUGGGCGGAAGCCUGAUGCAGCGACGCCGCGUGAGGGAUGACGGCCUUCGGGUUGUAAACCUCUUUCAGUAGGGAAGAAGCGAAAGUGACGGUACCUGCAGAAGAAGCGCCGGCUAACUACGUGCCAGCAGCCGCGGUAAUACGUAGGGCGCAAGCGUUAUCCGGAAUUAUUGGGCGUAAAGAGCUCGUAGGCGGUUUGUCGCGUCUGCUGUGAAAGACCGGGGCUCAACUCCGGUUCUGCAGUGGGUACGGGCAGACUAGAGUGAUGUAGGGGAGACUGGAAUUCCUGGUGUAGCGGUGAAAUGCGCAGAUAUCAGGAGGAACACCGAUGGCGAAGGCAGGUCUCUGGGCAUUAACUGACGCUGAGGAGCGAAAGCAUGGGGAGCGAACAGGAUUAGAUACCCUGGUAGUCCAUGCCGUAAACGUUGGGCACUAGGUGUGGGGGACAUUCCACGUUUUCCGCGCCGUAGCUAACGCAUUAAGUGCCCCGCC